rnacentral:rRNA from 1 species
AUUGAACGCUGCGGCAGGCUUAACACAUGCAAGUCGAGCGAGCGGCGGACGGGUGAGUAAUGCUUAGGAAUCUGCCUAUUAGUGGGGGACAACAUCUCGAAAGGGAUGCUAAUACCGCAUAAUAAUAGAGGAGCAUAGUCGGAUUAGCUAGUUGGGGGGGUAAGGGCCUACCAAGGCGACGAUCUGUAGCGGGUCUGAGAGGAUGUUCCUCCACAGUGUGACUGCGGCACACCCAGACUCCUACGGGCGGCAGCAGUGGGGAAUAUCGACUAUUGGGGGAACCCUGAUCCAUCCAUGCCGCAUGUGUGAAGAAGGCCUUAUGGUUGUAAAGCACUUUCAGCGGGGAGGCAUUACCCGCAGAAGAAGCACCGGCUAACUCCGUGCCAGCAGCCGCGGUAAUAC